GCCCGACCUGCAGCACUUCCUGAGGGCAGCUGCUGCGGGGCACUCGGCGCCGUCACCGGAGCUGCCGCCUGAGCCGGGCUCUACUCCCGGGAGCCCGAAAGUGUACCUGGAGACCUACGGCUGCCAGAUGAAUGUCAGUGACACUGAGAUCGCCUGGGCCAUCCUGCAGAAGAAUGGCUAUGCCAGGACAAAGGAGCUGGAUGAGGCAGAUGUGGUUCUUCUUGUCACCUGUUCUGUGAGGGAGAAGGCCGAGCAGGCCAUCUGGAACCGUCUGCAGCACCUCAAGGCGCUGAAGGCCCGGCGGCCGCAGGCUCGUGCUCCGCUCCGCAU